rnacentral:rRNA from 1 species
AGUGAACGCUGGCGGCGUGCUUAACACAUGCAAGUCGAACGAGAACGGAUUAUAGCUUGCUAUAAUUGUCAGCUAAGUGGCGCACGGGUGAGUAAUGUAUAGGUAAUAUGCCUCUUACUAAGGGAUAACAAAUGGAAACGUUUGCUAAUACCUUAUACUCCUUAUUAACAGAAGUUAAUAAGGGAAAGAUUUAUUGGUAAGAGAUUAGCCUGUAUUGUAUCAGUUAGUUGGUGGGGUAAUGGCUUACCAAGACUAUGACACAUAACUGGUUUGAGAGGAUGAUCAGUCACACUGGAAAGGAGACACGGUCCAGACUCCUACGGGAGGCAGCAUUGGGGAAUAUUGCACAAUGGACGAAAGUCUGAUGAAGCAACGCCGCGUGGAGGAUGACACAUUUCGGUGCGUAAACUCCUUUUAUAUGAGAAGAUAAUGACGGUAUUAUAUGAAUAAGCACCGGCUAACUCCGUGCCAGCAGCCGCCGUAA